GUGUUCAGUAUCAAACCUUGUGUUUACAGGAUAAAGCAUUUGGUAUGAAGCUUUUCAGCAUACAGGAUAAAGCAUUCGGUAUGAAGCUCUUCAGUAUACAGGAUAAAGCAUUCGGCAUAUGAAGCUUUUCAGAAUACAGGAUAAAGCGUUCAGUAUGAAGCUUUUCAGUA